rnacentral:rRNA from 1 species
CGAAAGUCUGACGGAGCAAUCCCGCGUGAGGGACGAAGGCCUUCGGGUUGUAAACCUCUUUUCUGAAGGAGCAAGUUCUGAGUUCACUUCGGGAAUAAGCGUCGGCUAAAUACGUGCCAGCAGCCGCGGUAAUACGUAGGACGCGAGCGUUAUCCGGAAUCACUGGGCGUAAAGCGUCUGUAGGCGUUUUGGAAAGUCUGAUGUUAAAAUUCCUGAGCUCAACUCAGUCGUAGUGUCGGAAACUUCCAGAAUAGAGAUGCGCAAGGGGUAGUGGAAUUCCGUGUGUAGGGGUUAAAUCCGUAGAUACCCGGUGGAACACCAAAAGCGAAGGCAGCUAGCUGGGCGCACUCUGACGUUGAGAGACGAAAGCGUGGGUAGCG